AGAGAAAGACGACUAGAGGUAAAUUAAGUAAGGAAAAGAGUGCGUUUAUUCUCACAGCUGUUAAUUAAAAAAGAUACCAAGUAAAAAAGUAGAGUCUCAUAGCUCAGCUGGUUAGAGCGCUACACUGAUAAUGUAGAGGUCGGCAGUUCGAGUCUGCCUGAGACUACUAAUUUUUUUUGAAUUGGAAAUUCUAGAAGUUGAGGAUGUAGUUAAGAGUCACUAACUACUAACUACUAUGUACUAACUACUAGUAUAUGGGGAAUUAGCUCAGCUGGCUAGAGCGCCUGCCUUGCACGCAGGAGGUCAUCGGUUCGACUCCGAUAUUCUCCACAAAAACGUUCAUUGACAUAUUGAAAAAAGGUACAUGAAAUUAGAUAGAAAUAUUUAAUAAAAGUAAUAAUUAUUGUAACGAGCAAUAAUAAGGUAUCAUGAUAUUAUAUUUAGGGGUUAAUUUAUUAGCUUUUAAGGAUUUUAUUGUGGUGCUUAAUAGGAACUCAUUAAAAAGACAAAAAGUAC
rnacentral:misc_RNA from 1 species